AUUGAACGCUGGCGGCAUGCCUUACACAUGCAAGUCGAACGGCAGCACGGGAGCAAUCCUGGUGGCGAGUGGCGAACGGGUGAGUAAUAUAUCGGAACGUGCCCGGUCGUGGGGGAUAACGUAGCGAAAGCUACGCUAAUACCGCAUACGAUCUACGGAUGAAAGCGGGGGAUCGCAAGACCUCGCGCGAUUGGAGCGGCCGAUAUCAGAUUAGGUAGUUGGUGAGGUAAAGGCUCACCAAGCCGACGAUCUGUAGCUGGUCUGAGAGGACGACCAGCCACACUGGGACUGAGACACGGCCCAGACUCCUACGGGAGGCAGCAGUGGGGAAUUUUGGACAAUGGGCGCAAGCCUGAUCCAGCAAUGCCGCGUGCAGGAUGAAGGCCUCGGGUUGUAAC
rnacentral:rRNA from 1 species